UACAGAGGGGGCAAGCGUUGUUCGGAAUUACUGGGCGUAAAGGGCGCGUAGGCGGCCGCCUAAGUCAGACGUGAAAUCCCUCGGCUCAACCGGGGAACUGCGUCUGAUACUGGGUGGCUUGAAUUCGGGAGAGGGAUGCGGAAUUCCAGGUGUAGCGGUGAAAUGCGUAGAUAUCUGGAGGAACACCGGUGGCGAAGGCGGCAUCCUGGACCGACACUGACGCUGAAAAGCGAAAGCCAGGGGAGCAAACGGG
rnacentral:rRNA from 1 species